AGCACCACAAGAUAAUGGCCAAGGUUGGUGUCUUGACCAGAACGGUGAUCUAGCUGUGGACUGGCUUAGUAUACCACCCGCUCCCCACUCUGUCCUCGAGUUUCUCAGCUGUGGCUGUAAGACUGGCUGUGGAGGAGGCAAUUGCUCCUGCAGGCGUCACAUGCUCGUGUGUACAGAUGCUUGUAGCUGUCACCAUCAUGCUUCAGUUCCAUGCAAGAACUGCCCGGUGGAAUCUGCUCCUGGACAUGACGAAGUACAGGCCAUCGAUGAGGGAGAUCUUCCGUCUGACACUGAGCAGCAGUAAUUGCAUGAAUGGCAAGUACGGAUCACGUCGGUUUACCCAGUAUGUGCUCAAAACUAGUGGACCGAUGCGGUUAAAAGUCAGGCACCUCUACUUGUUGCAUACACGUGUAUGUGCUGAGUGUUUUUGCUGGCUUCUGAAACAACGUAGUGUAUAGU